GGUAGAGAAGGUGUUAUUUUUCUUACUGCUUUCUCUGUAGAUAUUGGCUUGUUCACAAAUCUUACAGCAACCCGCAGCUGUGGCAUUAAACAGGACGAAGGAGAGAGCGCGAAAUCCGGCUGCGUAAAUCAGGGACGCCGCCAGCGUCUGUGCUAACAGUUGAAGCUGGAAUCCUGGGGGGCCGGAGGGAAAGCUUAUAGAGGACGCACGUGCAGCGCAGGUACCUGUUGUAUUUUCCUCCUCGGCAGAUCUGCCUGUACGGCUUCUCUGGGACGUUUCAGCCUGUCGGGCUGCACAGGAGCUCCACGGGCUCGCUCGUUCCCGGCCAGCUGUGUGCCUGUGGCGGAGCGGAGCAGCCGGGCGAGCACACGAGGAUGCUGGAGCGCUCUGCAACACUCCCUUUCAUUCCCACCCAUGCCCUGCAAACGUGCGUGUGGCUAAAUGCACGCUCCGGCCCUCAUUUUUACCCCUCGCUCAAAUGCUGACAGCCAGUUCCCUCUCUGCUACUCGCUGGUAAUAAUUAAUCUGAAGCGAUACCGAGAUUUGGGAAAUGGCACCAGGGAUAAUUCCCCAAAUUUGUUACGAAGACAAUGGGAAGGGGAACAAUGUAUUCAUGCAGACAAAGGGGAGGGAGUGUGUGGCUGUCUGAUUUUCCAGGGGUUUGGACUUCUUUCUGUUUCCUGCUCUUUUCUUUUCUGCUUGUCUUCCAGUGACGGGAGUGAAGAGCCCUCAACAUUAACCAAAACUGGGGAAAAAACAUACUACAUGCGAGAUGGGAAGGGAUCUGUUUGCUUAGUUUAUUAACAAGGUCCAGGGGCGACUUGCUUCUGCACAUGCACUUCUUCCUAGGGAAGAAAUAUCAGGUACCGAAGAACUCUCUAAUCUCCCAGAGAAAGCCGUAACAAGAACUGACGGAUAAAUGCCGAAGCCAGACAAGUCCCAAUUAAAAAAUAAAGAAGGGAACUAUUUUUAUUUGCUUUAUUUUGUACAAGGAAGUCGGGGCAAUGAAGCAUUUGAGCCGGCUGUUACAGGAAGUGCUGGAGUCUCCCUGUCUCAGCCUCUUUGGAUAAAGACUUGUGUUCCUUCUGGGAGCACAGCUUGACUCACACAACUUAUUGUACGCUGCUCAGGGGCAGCAGGGUGAAUGUCUGUGGCCCACAUUACGCAGACAGUCCAAUAAAAUCAUCCGAAAAUGUUCUGUUUAAA